rnacentral:rRNA from 1 species
CACGUAGGGCGCAAGCGUUGUCCGGAAUUAUUGGGCGUAAAGAGCUCGUAGGCGGUCUGUCGCGUCGAUCGUGAAAACUUGGGGCUUAACCCUGAGCUUGCGGUCGAUACGGGCAUGACUGGAGUUCGGCAGGGGAGACUGGAAUUCCUGGUGUAGCGGUGAAAUGCGCAGAUAUCAGGAGGAACACCGGUGGCGAAGGCGGGUCUCUGGGCCGAUACUGACGUGAGGAGCGAAAGCGUGGGGAGCGAACAGG